CCUGCCAAAGUUGGAAAGGGAGAACUGAUCAGCUGGGAAAUGAAAAAAUACUGCAAAUGUUGGGGGGGAAGCAGCCAAUUAAGCAGGGCUGAUGUGAGGACGUGCCUAGAGACAGUGUAGGUCACCCCUGAAGGUGUAGCAUGAGCUACACUGUCAUGUAACACAGAGGGUAAAUAGUGACAAAAGGAUGGUGACACCCCUGAAGGUUUGUUCUCCUGCCUCAUCUUCUUUUCUGUCUUCAGUCUUCCUUACACAAGUAACUCUUGCUUUUCUGGAGGUCACCUGCAGAGUCUUGUGACUAAGCAAGAUCUGACUUCAUUUUUACUUCAGUGCUUUUGGGGUAAUCCAGAGUAAGCACCCCUAUCACUGGAUAGAUGGUGUUUUCGUUUCUUAAUUAAAAGCUGUAGAGUACUGGGGACAAAAGCUGUAAGAAUUUCAGGUAAAUUGACAUUGCUAAUGAAGGGAAAAAUGGUGAGAACUUAGCACUUUCCCACAUUCCUGUACUAUCACCUUACUUCUGGUGCUGCUUGCACGCUCCAGGCAAGCUGAGCUGAAGCCAUGACAGAAUUCCUACUUUGGGUGAAAUGAGCUGCAGACUGGGACUUGUGCAGCUGCUCCAGGUAAACUCCAAACAGUAGGUUAAGCUGAACAAAGCACCAACUCAUCACUUCCUACAUUUCGGUUCACCACAAAUCUUACUUACAGUGGACCGCUACACUGAAGAUACAGAAUGGAGCUGGAGGUUUCUGGCAAGCUCAUGGGAACAGACGGCAGUUCUGACACCUGGGCUCGAACAUUUCUGCAAGAUGAAUGGUGUCACCUCGCUCUUCUUGGAAGCGCUUUAUCGGGGUUCCAGCCUUUCCCUGUUCGUGGGUCUGAGGUUCAGCAGAAGUCUACAGCUGUGGAACAGCCUGCACUAAAGAGUCUGUCAUCACUGGAGGAUGAGCAAACAUGUUGUUCCCAUAUUGCUAACAGAAGUACUUAGCAAAUGAAGAUCUACGUCGCGAAAGCAGUUCCAACUUCAAAUGCCACAAUGUAAGUGGAGCACUGGGAAUGCAGGGGGGAAUGUCUCCACAGUGAUAACUGACUGUUUCCAUGUACUAAAGAUAGACACGUAUCUAUGAUGAUAUUAUUGGAGAACCAAAAUCAAUGGGAACCACUGUUUUGGUGGAAACAGGUUUUGAGUGUCGGAACUGUACGCUGAUAUUGAAAGCCAUCUGACUUAGGAAGGACUGUCCAUUUUUAACAUUAAUUUUUAUGCUCUUCCAUCCUGUAAGAUUCAGUACAAGUUACCUGCAGGUUUCCUCCCACCGUGUGAAACCCAGGAGGUGUUGCUGCAGUCUGAUCAGUCGACCACACAGAAAUGUUUUGGUUGCCAUAUGCUGCACACUAGAAGGUGCUACAUUGGUACUUAAGAGCGCAGUCAUAUUUCUCCAUUCCCCACAGAACAAAAUUCAUAUUUGUAACUGCCAAGUAGAAAGUAAUUAUAUGUCUUUCUUGGGGAUUUAGAGUUCUUCCACUGUAGCUUUACAUUUGGUUAAAAAGAAAAAGGCAAUAGAAAUGUACCAAUCAUCCAAGUGUAAGGUUUUUUUUUCAUUAUUAGCAUAGUAAUGUUUCCUGUCGGUAAAGGGACACGGGACAUUCAUAAAUGCAUACACACCUGCCU